UACGUAGGGUGCAAGCGUUAAUCGGAAUUACUGGGCGUAAAGCGUGCGCAGGCGGUUUUGUAAGUCUGACGUGAAAUCCCCGGGCUUAACCUGGGAACUGCAUUUGUGACUGGCGGACUGGAGUAUGGCAGAGGGGGGUAGAAUUCCACGUGUAGCAGUGAAAUGCGUAGAGAUGUGGAGGAAUACCGAUGGCGAAGGCAGCCCCCUGGGCCAAUACUGACGCUCAUGCACGAAAGCGUGGGGAGCAAACAGG
rnacentral:rRNA from 1 species